GUACGCGCCACAUACUAUCCACAACUAAACUCCCAUAUUUUGUGAUUCUCUAAUAAAUAUUUGUUAUAAUGGUGCUCUGGUGUUUUUACUCUUACAGCUUCAGAAGUGAGAUAAUAAUCUUCGCCUACUACGAUAUAAUUUGUCGGAAAUUGGCAUUACGAAAUUAACCGCGCGUAGUCCUUUCCUUGUUUCAUUGUUGUGAACGUUAUCGUUAUUUAACAGAAUUAAUCUGAUUGUAAUCAGUAAAUGCACCAACACCACUCAUCAGUUAAGGACUAUUAAACACGAAGUCCAAGUUUAGCGCCAAAAUUAUGCCUACGUGCUGCCGGCGUGCCUUGUGUUUGUGUUGUGUGUUUGCUUUCAGAUGCCUAUCUAUCUAUUGCAGUUUAUGUACCUCAGUGGUCAAUGAUCAUGACUGUCUGAAAAAUAUUGAAGUAUAAAGCUGCUGGCGUGUAUGUAUUACAAUAUUCACAGCAGAAUAUCACAGGACACGGGCUGACAGUUGCCAAUGUUACCAUUGCUUUUGAUAUUGGUAUGAAUAAAAUACUUAAAUCCUUGGAAGAAGUCUUGUUGGCCGGUCCAACACCUAACAAUGCACCGGGACCAUGGUGGUUGAUAUUCACUGCCUCACUUAUGUGUUGUGUUUUGUGAUCCAUGUGCUUUCAGAUACAUAUGUGAUUAUGUGUACAUAACAUAUUAACACAAUGCUAUAAUCAUUUCUACAGUUGUGUUAUGGUGAGAUUUACAUUCAAGUAAAAAGGCUUACAAAACAAGUUGGGUAAUGUAAAUUUAGCCUAGAUUGAUACCUUAUGUAUGCUGGUAUUAUGUUUCAUGAUUAACAAUGAGUGCUACUUAAUACUUUAUCCUUACAGUCAAAUUAAAAUAGAUUUCAAGUUUUCAAAAACACUGGAGGACAAUAUCGGUUACAAGUGUUUAACACCGAUAAGGAGAAAUUAAUUGCUGUUCCAUAUAUGUGUGUGUGUGUGUUCUUAUACAUGCUUAUUGCAACUGAACUAAUGCUUUGUUAGUAUGUUUUUGGGUUGUGUAAUUUCCAGAAAUUUGACAGCAAUGAUUCUUGAAUUGAAUUACCAUACUGGCUUGUGGCUAUCGGCUCAGGCCUCUAUAAUGAACCCAACUGGACAUGAAUAAUAUUUUAAAGUUAAAUGGUUAUGGAUGCCAGGUAUAUGUUCAAGUAAUUCAUUAUAUGGAGAUAUUGUUGUGUUCCUGCCGGUGAGUAAGGUUGCCAGAGCUCAACGAGGGUGCGGAGUGUUAUGGUUGGCAACAUGCAUGUAGCUCCUUUGAAGUAGUAGGUGUACAUAGCCUACGGAGACUGCUUAAUAUCAGGCGGGCCGUAUGCUCGUUUGCCACCAAUGUAGUACAAUAAAAAUAUGUUGAUAAGUGACUAAUCUCUGGUUCCAUGGAAAAGGAGGUAUUUAUUUAGAAAUAAAAUAUUUGUUCAUGAUUUACCUACAUGUAUACUAAGGGUCAGUAUUAGUAUGUGUUGCAUUGACUGCAGGUUGGUAAAAUGCGCUUUGUGAAUAAGCAAAAAAAAUAAUUAUUGACAUUUAUUUGUAGUUGGGUAGUGUCUGCGACAAAUUGUAUUCACUACAUGUUGCCGGAGCCUUCAUGGACUGACUAUUUUAAAAAGCAGUCCAUAUCACAUUCUUAUGCAUAUAACCUCAUACAUCCUUAUCUUUGCAAUUAAUAUUAAGUUGGAGACAUACAAAUUAACAUGGAUAAUUUCUGUCUGUACUUACAUACAUUUCUUCUAUGUAUGAAAAAUCUCAUGAAAAGAAUAUUUACUUAUCCAAAUUGCAUACCACUUAUAGUAUACCUAUUAUGGUUGUUGUUUUGUUCAUAGGGAUGUGGUUUAAGUUUGCAAUGCAAAAUAUUUUUCACAAAAUUUCAUCAUGUCAUGAAAUGAACCAAAGACAUAUACUUCGACAGACUUACCAAACAAAUGAAAGUUUUAUUUGCAUGUCGUGGUCAAGUGUCCACUUGAGGCAUUGACAAUGAUAAUAAUUUGUGUCUUUAUCUUACAUUAUAUUUCAGAUGCAUUUCCUUAUAACAAAACUUUUGAUUGCUGGUGAAGUUUUGACCAUAAGUUUAAAAUACUUGCAUCGAUUUAGUAUGAUUACAGGAGUUUCCAAGGUUUAAAUCUUGUCAAAGAGAUGGAAAUAUUGUACUAGGCAUUUAUUAAACUGUGUAUCAUACUGGUAAAGCAGGUUGUUGCUAAUGGUAAGCAAGUUGAAUACUUUCAGGAGUCGAUAUGGACUUUGACUGUCUACAUGACAUACAUGUCUUACAUACAAAUGCCAUUGGAGCACUGGACUCUAAACAUAUCGGUCAGUAAAUAGCUUGGUUAAAGCUUUCCAUAUAUUUUAACCCAUUUACUGCUAAUGAACAUUGACCGAAGCAAGUCAUGUCAUGAGCUACUUACUGUUUGAAGUUAUUGACACUUUUCCUCUGAACUUGCAGUAUGUUGUGAUACUUUUUGUAUUAUAAAACUGUACAUUUUAAUUGCUUCUUGUUUUCAUAAAUGAGAAGUUAAAAAUUAUUUUUCACAAAUUUUGUGGAUUCACUAUUGUUUUGCAAGAUUUAUAAAUUGUAUUCUAUUGUGAACUCAUGUACCUUACAAUGUGUGCUUGCAUGGUAUUUAACAAAAUGAUUUAGUUUUGUGCAGGUAUGAGUUAACCUGGAUGAUGAUGUGUUGAGUUACCAACACAUAAAAUGCACAUGUACAGCUGAAGAAAGUCAAGUUGUGUCUUGGGAAGCUUUGUUUGACAAGCUUUAUGGUUUAAGCAUAUGUACCAUUGAUCUGGCUGAUUGAUACACAAUAUACACUUUGAUGAUGGUUGCAAAAUACAAUUAGUGAAACCUCGAUAAGGCGAACCUGGGUAAGAGAGUAACCUCGAUAACAUGAACUUCUGUUCUGGUUCUACCGUAGUUCAACGGUAGUAUAGUAAGAGUGUUGUCUUUAUUUAGGGGCACGGAAGAGGCAAGCCAAGUUGCACAUAAUUAUUUUAUAAUAGGUCGCAUGUAGCGACUGCUUAUUAUUUUAUAUCUUCGAUGUUAAAGGCAAAUGCUGUUAUUUCAACUACUACAGUGUAAUUUUCUCCAUAUAUUUUCAGAUUAAGAACUGACUGCUAUUGCUACACUGUGUUUCGUGUAUACACUCUCAGAUUAAGAUUUGAGUUGUGUUUUGCCUUUAUAUUCUCGGACUUGGAACUGAGAUGUAAUUUUAUUAGACACUCGGAUUGAGAACCGAGUUAUUAUUUUAUUUAUAUGCUCUCGGAUUGGGAACCGAGUUGUGAUUUUGUUUUAUCCCAGAUUUAGAACUGGGUUAUUGUUGUCAUACUAAUGUGUUUUGUUAACAGGUUUGCCGACUAUAAUAAACACAUUGUGCUUGAUUAUUGUAGUUACCUACCAUGGUAAUGCUUGCAAUAUAUUGUUUUAUGGGGGCCCCACUGUUUGCCAUUUUACUUUAAAGGCUGAUUCAUAAUUCUAUCGGUUGCUUCAAUGUCAGCUAUAUAUAGAGGUUAAAUUAUUGUGUGUUCUUUUAUGAGCUGUUACUCGAACACUCGGCAAGGGAUGCUAUCCUUAAGAGGCUAGUUCCUGGCGCCGGUAAUCGCAACAUAGGCUUUAAGAGGCGGUCUGUUGCUUGUCACUAUCCUUAAGAGGGUAGUUUGUUACUGGUAUCUGCAGUGCAGGCUUUAAGAGGCGGACCAUUGCAUGUGAUAUAAGACUUUCGGCAAGGGAUGCUAUCCUUAAGAGGCUAGUUCCUGGCGCCGGUAAUCGCAACAUAGGCUUUAAGAGGCGGUCUGUUGCUUGUCACUAUCCUUAAGAGGGUAGUUUGUUACUGGUAUCUGCAGUGCAGGCUUUAAGAGGCGGACCAUUUCAUGUGAUAUAAGACUUUCGGCAAGGGAUGCUAUCCUUAAGAGGCUAGUUCCUGGCGCCGGUAAUCGCAACAUAGGCUUUAAGAGGCGGCCUGUUGCUUGUCACUAACCUUCAGAGGCUAGUUGUUAUUACUAUCUGCAGUGCAGGCCUUAAGAGGCGGACCAUUGCAUGUGUUAUUAGACUACCUUCAGAGGCUAGUUGUUAUUAUUGGUUGCUUAUUUGUUGUUGAGAGGUUGGCUUGAGACCUUGUUUCACAAAAGUAUGUUUUAAGACUGAUGAUCUUAAGAUUACCUUGAAAGGGUUGCUUGCACUUAUACUUUCUAGAGAUCGCUGACGAAGUUCCGGAUCCAGUAGAGUUGAGGGAGUGCCUGUUCGGAAUGCCCAGUUGAAACGAGUGCAUGCAACACGCUCCGUGACAAUCUUAUCGUGAAGGGCCGACUUCUACGGUCGUUGCGCCUACAAGGGCAGUGGUAUCCUAGCCUGCAUAUGGUAUUUUAACACGGUAAUGUUUUUGUCUAAUAAUUAAAUCUGUGGAUAACUGCCAUUAGUCACGAUGCUAGAAAGCGGUGACAUGAAGUACUUGAUUAUGUCACGACUAAAGGUGAUUAUGUAAUUUAUAACAAUGUUGCUAAAGAGCGCCCAUGAGUUCUGUCCAAACAUAAUUGCAUCUGUCUCAUGUUUUUACAGAAGUAGACAAAUUUUGACUGUCAUUGUUAUUUACGGUAUGAUUUUAUGGCUAUCAAGCCGGACCUGUGAUCGAAAGGGUCUAACUGUGCCAAUUGUGCAUUUAUGGAUCGUCGUAACCUUAUCACAGUUAUUUGGACAACAUUGGUAUUAUACUAAUGCUAAAAGCCUGUCGCUGGCUAUAGUUCCAAGGGUAAAUUAUCACGCCUUGUUAUGUUAAGGAACCUAGUCUUUUCACACGUAUGUUACAGAGGUUCGUAAACAAGAGUUUAUGCUGUUUUCAUGUGCUGCAUCGGAGGGCAGCUAUGCACACGCAUGAGACGUGUCCCAUGUUAGCCACUCACGAGUUGUACGCAUUGUUGUGCGUGCGUGCGAAGGAGUCUUAUAUCCUACAACGGACGACCCAACUGUGAGUUUGUUCCAAGUCUUUGCUUUUAAAACAACGCAAAACAUCUUUGUUACGUUUAGCGGUCAGUAUGAAACGCACCGCUCAUGGAAGGUUUGGGUUACCUGCAUGGGUACAUUAUACAAGAAGGUUAUAAAUAAAUAUCAAAUAAAUCCUUCCAAGUUAUGACGUUAUUCACAAGAAAAUAAUUUAUGUUAGAUUGCGUUGCAAAAGUGGUUUAUCUACCCGCCGCUAGAUGUCAAUAUUUUAUUACUUGCAUAAAUAAUUAAUUGGUAUUUCUAUCCUCUUGGUGUCAUAUGCACAUGAAAGGUUUAGUAUACCUUUUGUGUAUUUCGAGCAAGUACCGAGCAGUCUUGCAAAUGCUAACACCUCUUGUAGGUACCACGGAAUAUUUGGUUCCUAGCCUGGUCAUGCAAUCUUACAUUUAGUUCAGUCAGCUGACCUUAGCCUUACCCCAAUUCGAUUAAAAUAGAACUAAAUGUCUUGGUGUAAGUUGACGAUAACGAAAUAGACUGUUUCAACGGAACUUGAGUCAAUUACUUAAAAGGACCAAGCCUUGUGUAUCGGCUGAGCAUAAAAGAUGCUUGUUCAAUUCGCAGAAUAACGAACAGAUGGAGGCUACCGCCACCUGGUGGAGGCCCAGCUUGCUGCGAUUUUGUUGGCUGCGGCUGUCUCCAGUGGCGGCACGGCUAGCAGUGACCUUCGGGGCGUAGGUCGGGUCAGGAGAUGGCCGAGCUAAAAGGCGGCUUCGUCAUUUAUCGGUCGUCACAUCACUACGACAACCGGAAUGUCACAUCACUAAGAAGCGUCGUCCAUCUUGUAGAUCGGUUUCUGGGCGUCGUACGCGCCACAUACUAUCCACAACUAAACUCCCAUAUUUUGUGAUUCUCUAAUAAAUAUUUGUUAUAAUGGUG